UACGUAGGUGGCAAGCGUUGUCCGGAAUUAUUGGGCGUAAAGGGCGUGUAGGCGGCAAUAUAAGUCUGAUGUGAAAUCUUAUGGCUCAACCAUAAAACUGCAUUGGAAACUGUAUAGCUAGAGUGUCGGAGAGGAAAGCGGAAUUCCAUGUGUAGCGGUGAAAUGCGUAGAUAUAUGGAGGAACACCAGUGGCGAAGGCGGCUUUCUGGACGACUACUGACGCUGAGGCGCGAAAGCGUGGGGAGCAAACAGG
rnacentral:rRNA from 1 species